GGUUCCGCCUGCCCAGUGACUCUAUAAAUGGCCGCGGUAUCCUAACCGUGCAAAGGUAGCAUAAUCACUUGUCCUUUAAAUAAGGACUAGCAUGAACGGCUAAAUGAGGACUUAACUGUCUCUUACAGCUUGCCAAUGAAACUGAUUUUCCAGUACAAAAGCUGGAAUAAACACAUAAGACGAGAAGACCCUGUGGAGCUCCAAAUCAAACCCACCAACCAUGGGUCUAAAGAUUUUUAGUUGGGGCGACUUCGGAGCAUAAAAACGCCUCCAAACAUGUAUUAUUUAAUUUUAUUAAGACUAACACACCAAAACAACAACAUAAGACCCAGCAACAUCUUGAUGUUAUCUGACAAAUGAGCCAAGUUACCCCAGGGAUAACAGCGCCAUCCCCUUCUAGAGUCCCUAUUGACAGGGGG
rnacentral:rRNA from 1 species